rnacentral:ncRNA from 1 species
UGGGCAAACCUGUUGAAAAGCAGGGACGCAAAGCCAAAGGGCCUGAACCAGAGAUGGUGUGGCAGCCGGUUGC